UACGAAGGGGGCUAGCGUUGUUCGGAAUUACUGGGCGUAAAGGGCGCGUAGGCGGCCUUGUUAGUCGAGUGUGAAAGCCCUGGGCUUAACCCGGGAAGCGCGCUUGAUACUGCAGGGCUUUGAGUGUGGGAGAGGAUGAUGGAAUUCCCAGUGUAGUGGUGAAAUGCGUAGAUAUCGGGAGGAACACCAGUGGCGAAGGCGACUACCUGGCCCAUUCUUGACGCUGAGGCGCGAAAGCUAGGGGAGCGAACGGG
rnacentral:rRNA from 1 species